rnacentral:lncRNA from 1 species
CUCCUGGGCUCAAGUGAUCCUCCUGUCUCAGCCUCCCAAAGUGCUGGGAUUACAGGCGUGAGUCACCACGUGCAGCCUAAUUGAGUUAUUUAUUGGUUUUGAGAGCAACGCCCAAAGGCCCAAGAAAUGAUAACUCAUUCAGUGAAGGCUUCAACAUGAAAUGCCAACUUGAAAAAACAGAAAACAAGUUGCUUAAUUUCUCCUCCACAACUUGAAAAAGAGCAGUGCAAGAUGUUGACUUAGAGGAAAAUUCAUCAUGCAAGAUUUAGAGGAAAAUUCAGCAAACACUUAUUGAGCACUUACUAUUUAGGCCAGGCCUGUGUUAGAUCCUUCCUAUAUAGUAUCUCAUUUAAUCCUUAAAGCCACAGAGAAAUUAAAACUAUAGAGAUUAUUAUACUAUAACAAGGUUAACCCUCUAGGCAACAGCUUGGGAUUUUCCAUGUAUGCCUGUUUACUGCUAGAGAAUUUAAUUUGGAGACAAAAUGAUUUUAAUGCCCUCGCACCUGUAGGAAUACUUUCCUUUCUCUUCCUUCUGUUGGAAUGUGAAGAGGCCCAAGAAAAUAUUACUCUUCCUUGCCAAGUUCUGAACGAGUUGAGAAAUAGGACAAAAGAGUAAGGCAAAUGGAAGAGCAAGAUGUCACCUUUGUUGCUGAUGAAGCUGAUUUUUGGAGAUUGUGCCUUUUUUUUCUGUGGGUAAGCAGAUUUCCUACUACCGAACCCCAGAGUUAGAAAUACCCAGCCACCAGCAGUGUGGGGCCACCCUGGGCCUCUGCACACACAGGACUAUGCCCGGAAGACCCUCAGUGUGUGUGUGUGUGUGUGUGGUGGUAGGGCAUGGGGAGGAGAAUGUGUAUUUCCUGCAGGCAGUCAGCUCCCAAGGAGAAAGGGAGUAAAGGGGCUGGGCUAUCCUGGUGCAAUGCCUACUCUCAGCAGAGUUGGCUAGCACCGGCUUGUGCAUAUCUCAGCUCCAGGUUCAGUGACCUUCUCAGCUACCUUGUCGGUAGCUUGGUACCGACAUUUCAGCCCUGCUGAAAUGGGUAUCUUUACACUACAGAAGUUAUCAAAUGCUGCAAAUUGAAACUUUUGCCCCAGAGAACCAAUUGUUGAACAUUUACCUGCACACCACCGGCUGCUCCCAAAAUUUCCAACCAGAGAUCUUUCUUCUUCCCCAGCAAAAAAGUGAAUGAGAGGGGUGGAAAAAGGGUGGAGCCGGAGCUGAGAAGAAGAGUUAGCAUCACCACGGUCUUCCUCCAGGCCAUUCUCAAGCACAACCUGGGUGAGGCUCUGUCAUUGCUUAAUGGAUCAGCUGUAUAGUAACAGCAGAAGAUAAAACAUGGCUUCCAGAUCAGCUAAAGUAUCAACAAGAAUGAAAAUGACACUUCAAAGGAUUUAAGUGAAGAGAGUGUCGUGAAGAUUAUUUGUAGAGAUGUGGGAUCAGAUGAGAAACACCCUGGGACCAGAAACAGCAGAAGCCCUAAUGCCUGCCAAAGGGCAAGACCAGGGUGAGCUCCUACCCACAGUAUCUGGCGAGAGCUGGAGCCCUGAGACAGGGAUGGGGCCUACUGGCACUUGGAAAGUGUACUGGGGUCUUAGUGAACUGAUGUCAUUUCCUCUUCUCUUCCCCAGGAUUUGAGAUUUCUAAAAACAACAACAACAACAACAACAACAACAACAAAACCCUAUACAAAUCUAAAUUAGUUAAAAAAAAAAAAACUAAAGUGGUUGGAUGGGAGCUAUGGCUUAGGAAGAGAAACACAGCCCAUCAAAGAGGGACUAGGGAUUUAAAUAACCCUCUCUUCUCUCUUCCUGUCCAUGCCUUCUGUUGGGUGAAACUAGCAGCCAGAAGGCAAGGGGGCCUGGGUGGAGAUGUCCAGUGGCAUUAGCCUCCCAGGUACAGAGAGAUGCAGAGAAAGAUGCAAAAUAGACCUGGAGUAGCUGAGAAUCAUCUUGUCAUUUGUCACCUAUUAGCCAGUUGCUUUGUCCAAGGCCUUGAGCCUCAGUUUUCUAUAGAGUGGGCAUCAAACUUGUCUACCUCUUGUCUGCCUCACAGGGCCAUGGGGAACAGCCAGUGAAAGUGUUAAAAUCAUUCGCUUGCCAUUUGACCCUCUUCUUCAUCUGCAUUAUCUCACUUAAUUCCUCAACAGCCGGGUAGGGUAUAAGGCAGAGAGGCCAGGGGACAAGGACAGGCAGGCACUUUGGAAUCAGAAGAAGAGGUCAUCAACUGUGGCUCAGCCAAGCUUUUUAACUGUGAGAUCAUGGGAAACUGAAGCUCUCUGAACCUCAGCUAUUGUCUUACUUUGAGCUCCCCCAAAAUCACAUCCUGAGACAAAUAUUUGAGUGCAAAUAGUUCAUUUGGGAGCUGAUCCCAGGAUGCACCAGGAGGGACUGGGCAGGGACUCAGAAAAGGGAAGAAACCCAAUUAUUGGUGUAUUCACAAGUGGGCAACUCGGUCUCAGUGCCACAACUGUGAUGAAGACUGUGCAGGACACAUCCUGGGGUUGGUGGAAUGCAGGGUGCGGGUGCUGGGGUGUUUAUUCACCACCUUCCAUCCCUCACUGGCUGAGGGUUGUUCUUGGAAGUUUUAACUCCCUGGCCAUUUCACACUGCCUGCUGUGGCCAGAGGAGACUCAAGCAGCCAGAGAGUGCCAUGGGGUGGAGACACACAGGAAGCCACAUAGAUGCCCUCCAGCAUGGGCCAGGAGGGAAUGUCUGGGGGACCGACAGCAUCCGUUUUGUUUUUCUAAUUUGUAUGCUAGAGAUGAUGUCUAUGUCACAGGACAGUGACAGAGAUGAAAUGAUUAAUGAUUAAAUGGCUAAAUGUCUUCCAAGUGCCUGGCUCAUAGUAGGUAUCCAAAGAAAAGGAGGCAUUCAUAGUAAAGAUGGGUAAAUAUUCAUGUGUUACAGAUGGAAGCAAAUGGGACUCAAAGAAGUUAAGACAUUUGCCCUAAAUCACACAGACAGUUCUUAAAUGGCCAAGUCAGAUCUGGCCCCAGUUUGUUCCCCUUCCACUCUGCCGUGGCUACCUCCUGUUAAUGGACUAUACAUUUAGAGUGCUUUUGCCUCAUAAAGUGUGUGAAGCUCCAUAAAUAUAAAAUGUUUGUAGUCCCAGCCUUGCUAGCUCAAAUCCAAGUUAAAUUGACUCUUGGGUAGUUCUUCUCUCAGCCCCAAUUCUCAUAAGCUCAAAUAUAUAUUUUCUUAGUCCCCUGGGAUCCUCCAUUCUGUGCCCCAACAAUCCCUAACCCUUCAUUAGUAAUGCCUAGAUGUCUCCACAUAUUUCAAGGGGUGCCAGAAAGUCUCCAGACAAAAUAAAAGAUGCCAUAAAACACCAAGUGCAUAAAACUCUAGACACCUUGUUCUCCAUGUCAUGUUUCCUUUUAAAAACAAAUAUUUUGAAAUGCCCUCUUUACUAUCCUGCUGAUACACACAUAAAAACUAAUAAAAUGCACAAACUCUUUUCUUAAAAAUUGUGGGAAGAUAUACAUAAUAAAAAAUUUACCAUUUUAACC